CCUACGGGUGGCUGCAGUGGGGAAUAUUGGACAAUGGGCGAAAGCCUGAUCCAGCCAUGCCGCGUGUGUGAAGAAGGCCUUCGGGCUGUAAAGCACUUUCAGUGGGGAAGAAAGCCUUGGGGCUAAUACCCUCGAGGAAGGACAUCACCCACAGAAGAAGCACCGGCUAACUCCGUGCCAGCAGCCGCGGUAAUACGGAGGGUGCGAGCGUUAAUCGGAAUUACUGGGCGUAAAGCGCGCGUAGGCGGUCUGAUAAGCCGGUUGUGAAAGCCCCGGGCUCAACCUGGGAACGGCAUCCGGAACUGUCAGGCUAGAGUGCAGGAGAGGAAGGUAGAAUUCCCGGUGUAGCGGUGAAAUGCGUAGAGAUCGGGAGGAAUACCAGUGGCGAAGGCGGCCUUCUGGACUGACACUGACGCUGAGGUGCGAAAGCGUGGGUAGCAAACAGGAUUAGAUACCCGAGUAGUC
rnacentral:rRNA from 1 species